rnacentral:rRNA from 1 species
AUGGUGUGCGCGCCGGAGAGGACGACCAGGUCCUCCGCGUUGAGCCCCUUGAUGACGAAGCUAGCGACGAGGUCGUUGAGGUUUGACGUCGGCGGGACCAGGAACUUGAGCGGCUCGGAGGCGUUUGAGAAGGUUCCGUCGCGGCGGCCGGACGGCAUCUCGAAGUUUACGUUGCCCCUGCUGAGGAUGCAGGACGCAUCACGGGCCGCGAAGGCAACGAUGUCUGCACAGGAGACGAUGCCUGGGCAGGCCGCCUCGAGGGCGUCCUUGAUGGCGUCAAUCAGCUCGAAGCCGCGCAGGGAAGGGUCGUUCGGCGGGCUGAGUUUCUCCGGUGUCGGGCUGAACGGAGUCGGGUCCAGGAGGACGGAAGCAUCACAGCCCUAA